GUCGGGUUAAGUCCCUUAACGAGCGCAACCCUUAUCACUAGUUGCCAGCGCGUCAUGGCGGGGACUCUAGUGAGACUGCCGGUGUCAAACCGGAGGAAGGUGGGGAUGACGUCAAAUCAUCAUGCCCCUUAUGUCUUGGGCUUCACGCAUGCUACAAUGGCCGGUACAAAGGGCUGCGAAACCGCAAGGUGGAGCGAAUCCCAAAAAGCCGGUCUCAGUUCGGAUUGGGGUCUGCAACUCGACCCCAUGAAGUCGGAGUCGCUAGUAAUCGCAGAUCAGCAACGCUGCGGUGAAUACGUUCCCGGGCCUUGUACACACCGCCCGUCAAGUCACGAAAGUCGGUAACACCCGAAGCCAGUGGCCCAA
rnacentral:rRNA from 1 species